ACGUUUCAGUCUGCUCUUAUAUUCACGCUGCGUGGUACCGUUCUUUCAAUAUUUUGGAUUAAAUUAAUUGUAUUACAUUUUAUCAAUUAAUAUCGGCCUUUAAUGACAAUAGACGUGUCCAGUGUUUUGCUAAAGAUGAGUUCCGCGUGUAAUGAUUAUAAACUCGUGUGUUUAUCUCUGUAUUUCUGUUUCGACGGCUAUUGGAUUACUUAGAUGCUGAGGAUUGGAAUUGGAAAUAUGUGUUCUGUUGAUAAUUUCGAUAUUUACUCACAUUUGAUUUGCGGUGUUCGAUACACUGUACUUGCCGUAUUCUUGCAAUCCGAGGAGCGCUGCAUUGGUAAGUUUAUAAUUAAGUUAUAUUAUUCAGUUAAAUGUUUUAUCACAUUUUACCUGCGUAUUGCAAUAUCCCACAAAUUAGGGGGGUCGUAUAAAUUUUACAUAAUGGUAAUAUGGAAAACGGAUCAUAGUGCG